GGCUGUAGCGCGGUGGUCCCACCUGACCCCAUGCCGAACUCAGAAGUGAAACGCCGUAGCGCCGAUGGUAGUGUGGGGUCUCCCCAUGCGAGAGUAGGGAACUGCCAG
rnacentral:rRNA from 3 species